rnacentral:rRNA from 1 species
AUGAACGCUAGCGGCAGGCCUUACACAUGCAAGUCGAGGGGUAACAGGGAAAAGCUUGCUUUUCCGCUGACGACCGGCGCACGGGUGCGUAACACGUAUGCAACCUACCUCUUACUGGGGGAUAGCCCAGAGAAAUUUGGAUUAACACCCCAUAGUAUCACCAGUUCGCAUGUUCAGGUGAUUAAAGGUUACGGUAAGAGAUGGGCAUGCGCCCCAUUAGCUAGUUGGUGAGGUAACGGCUCACCAAGGCAUCGAUCAGUAGCUGGUCUGAGAGGAUGAUCAGCCACACUGGGACUGAGACACGGCCCAGACUCCUACGGGAGGCAGCAGUGGGGAAUUUUCCGCAAUGGGCGAAAGCCUGACGGAGCAACGCCGCGUGAGGGAUGAAGGCCUCUGGGCUGUAAAGCUCUUUCGUCGGGGAAGAAAAUGACUGUACCCGAAUAAGAAGGUCCGGCUAACUUCGUG